rnacentral:lncRNA from 1 species
CCCUAGUGCAUCCAUGAGUAGGUUCAUAACCAAUUAUUUUUCCAAACAACUUCUAGCAAUAAGUUUUGCCCCAAGCAUCCCUUCAGCAGGCAUGUGGCACCUCCACUGAAAAUCCUGAUUAGAUCCAACCAUUAACAUGGCACACCAAGUGUAUCCAACAAAUGAAUAUCUAGAUCCGAGUGUGGCUCGACCAACCUGAGCAAUGAUCUGAAGGUACAUCAUGAUG